AGAGAGAGAGAGAGAGAGCACUAAAAUUAGAAACUAAUAGUUCUAGGAAUAGAAGCCAGGAAAAAUGCAGCAAACAUCCAAAGUUACAACUUAAAAAUAGACAACUGCACAAUGCACAUAGUUGCUGAACACAACCAAUGAUAUCUUUAAAGGCAAAAGCCAUUUGGAAUUAUAGCCAUUAUGCAAUUGAUGUCAACCACAAAGCUCAUUGAUCUGCCCAAUCACACAAAUCAGACAAUGGUAAGUUGACAAAGGUUACAAUUUCAUCUAAGAAUUAUAAAAGCCACUGUUAUAUGUUCAUUAUAAUCAACGGACGAUAACACCAAAUGCCUAUUGGAUUCCUUUUCUCACCCUCUUUUCUUUUUUUAAUUCUUCUCAACCAUCUUUUCUAUAAGAGAUAAAGAACAGUAUAAGAGGAAAGGAUCUGAAAAAUAGAAUAAACCAAUUAUCAACAGAUGUAACAAAAGAAAGCAACGCUAUAUAAAAGAGAGUAACAAUGCUCUCUUGAACCUAACAUAUCUAGUGUGAGCACCAUAUUAGCCAGUCUUCUUCAGACAACACCGUAUGACUACUAGCUAACCGAGCCACUUCUAACUUUGUUUUUCAACACCAUAAAUACUGCAGUAGAAAUGGAUUCAUUUAUUGUUGUCCCUUCUAGAUCCAACAUUUAUCUUUGGCAUUAACAAACCCUCAUUUGACCAUUUUACCAAGAAUCAAACUAGUGACAGAGCUUCACAAAAAUAAUCUUAUAAGCAGUUGUACAGCAGGAUUUGUGAAGAUUAAAAGUGUCUUGUUUUAAAUAUUCUGAUAGAGCACCCACAAACAAUUUGUUAAAAAAAAUCCUAAAUUUAUCUUAAUUUUUAUGAAUCCUCCUUGUCACAUACAUCUAAAAAGUAGCUGUAGCUAGCUGAUAAUCAACAUCAGUCCAUUUAAGUUUGAUGUCAACAAAGUUAAUAAAAUGUACAUUUCAAAAAUAGUGUUGCACCAAAGAUGGCACUAUGUUUUACACACAUUAGAUACUACAGAAGCUAUCAUUUUCCUGUUGCUAAACAUAUCAAGAAAACCUACACAAGAAAAUUUUAUAGUGGAGUGCAAGACCAUCUCAACCAUCAAAUCUGACUGAAGAGGUAACUAACAAAGAUAGGGCAGAGCAUAAAGGUAGACAUAUCUCACUGAGUAUGUGAGGAGAGUUUCCA
rnacentral:misc_RNA from 1 species